rnacentral:rRNA from 1 species
CCAAAAGAUCGAAUGGGGAGAUUCAUCGUCAGCGCAUUUUGUAUAUGUAUAAGUUGUGAUGCGGGUUACUCNUUGUAGUAUUGCCUGUACAUUCUUGUAUAUUUUGUUGCAAGAUGUUGUCGGCGUGCACUUCUCCCCUAGUAGAACGUCGCGACCCGUUGGGUGUCGGUCUACGGCCCAAAUNGGUAGCCUUNUAAUGUUUUNAAUACAUUGAAGACCUUUGGUGUUUCCUGACCGACUGCUCGGCGGUACUCGUACGGUAUUAAGCCGCAUAUUAAUAUGCGUCCAUACCCGUCGCAAGCGAGGUUAAUUUUUGGUAGUACGGACCUAGUGCCGUC